AACGCACCUUGCGCUCCUUGGUAUUCCGAGGAGCAUGCCUGUUUGAGUGUCAUUAAAUUCUCAACUUCAUCAGCUUUAUUAUGAAACUGUGUGGAGCUUGGAUGUGGGGGUUUGUGCAGAGCGCGUAAAAGCAACCUGCUCCCCUUAAAUAAAUUAGCGAGUUCAAACUGGGCUCCGUCUAUUGGUGUGAUAAUUAUCUACGCCGUGGAUUGGGCUUAGACUUGCUUCUAAUCGUCCGCAAGGACAAUCUUUUGACAAUUUGACCUCAAAUCAGGUAGGACUACCCGCUGAACUUAA
rnacentral:misc_RNA from 1 species